UUCGUAACAAUAGUACACGAAAUGUAUUUGACAAACAAUUAUUAUAAUAACACUACAUAAACAAUGAACAAUGUACUCCCCUCACCUACCAACAAAGACAAACAUUUUCAAAUCUUGUGCAGCACAUAUCUCUCUAUAUAACAUAAGCAGCAAACGUACUGUUGUUCUAGUAUAGUCUUCUACAAUCUUUGUGUUUUACUUAAACUGUAAAUCCAAAAAUCAAUAUUUUAUUUGGCGUUUUAAAUUUUCUAUCUUUAAUAUACCAUUGGAUUAUAUCUAAUUGAAAAAUGAAAUUAAAUAGCAUAUAUUUGUUUUUAACAACAUUGUUUUGCGUUAUCAUUUUAGCGUAUGCAGGUAUUUCAGGUCGUCCUGAACAUACGCAAUCCAAUACCCCUCCAGCUCCACCAUUACGAAUGGGACACCCACCACUUCCGGGUGUAAUAGCACAUAUAAAUCCACCACCACCACCACCAGCAGCACCACCA